AGCAGCCGCGGUAAUUCCAGCUCCAAUAGCGUAUAUUAAAGUUGUUGCAGUUAAAAAGCUCGUAGUUGAAUUUCGGGAUCAAUUAAUUGGUCGUGCCUCUGGUACGUACUGAUUUUAUUGGUUUCUCCCUUCUGACGAACCAUGAUGUCAUUAAUUUGGUGUCGUGGAGAAUCAGGACUGUUACUUUGAAAAAAUUAGAGUGUUUAAAGCAAGCUAACGCUUGAAUACAUUAGCAUGGAAUAAUGAAAUAGGACGUUUGAUCCUAUUUUGUUGGUUUCUAGGAUCGACGUAAUGAUUAAUAGGGAUAGUUGGGGGCAUUAGUAUUCAAUUGUCAGAGGUGAAAUUCUUGGAUUUAUUGAAGACUAACUACUGCGAAAGCAUUUGCCAAGGAUGUUUUCAUUAAUCAAGAACGAAAGUUAGGGAUCGAAGACGAUCAGAUACCGUCGUAGUCUUAACCAUAAACUAUAGCCGACUAGGGAUCGGAUGAUGUUAAUUUUUAAUGUACUCAUUCGGCGCCUUA
rnacentral:misc_RNA from 1 species